AAAUUGAAGAGUUUGAUCAUGGCUCAGAUUGAACGCUGGCGGCAGGCCUAACACAUGCAAGUCGAGCGGUAGCACAGAGAGCUUGCUCUCGGGUGACGAGCGGCGGACGGGUGAGUAAUGUCUGGGAAACUGCCUGAUGGAGGGGGAUAACUACUGGAAACGGUAGCUAAUACCGCAUAACGUCGCAAGACCAAAGUGGGGGACCUUCGGGCCUCAUGCCAUCAGAUGUGCCCAGAUGGGAUUAGCUAGUAGGUGGGGUAAUGGCUCACCUAGGCGACGAUCCCUAGCUGGUCUGAGAGGAUGACCAGCCACACUGGAACUGAGACACGGUCCAGACUCCUACGGGAGGCAGCAGUGGGGAAUAUUGCACAAUGGGCGCAAGCCUGAUGCAGCCAUGCCGCGUGUGUGAAGAAGGCCUUCGGGUUGUAAAGCACUUUCAGCGGGGAGGAAGGCGGUGAGGUUAAUAACCUC
rnacentral:rRNA from 1 species